UUCCUACGGGAGGCAGCAGCGAGGAAUAUUGGUCAAUGGACGGAAGUCUGAACCAGCCAUGCCGCGUGCAGGAAGACGGCUCUAUGAGUUGUAAACUGCUUUUGUACAAGGGUAAACCUGAAUACGUGUAUUCAGCUGAAAGUACUGUACGAAUAAGGAUCGGCUAACUCCGUGCCAGCAGCCGCGGUAAUACGGAGGAUCCAAGCGUUAUCCGGAUUUAUUGGGUUUAAAGGGUGCGUAGGCGGGCUUUUAAGGCAGCGGUAAAAAUUCGGGGCUCAACCCCGUCCGGCCGUUGAAACUGGGGG
rnacentral:rRNA from 1 species